rnacentral:lncRNA from 10 species
AUUCAAUUCAAUAGGCAUUUAUUCAGGACAGACUAUGUGUUCCAAGAACAGGGGAUAUAAAGAUGAAUAAGACAAUUAUCACUUCAAGAAACUUUCAGUCUAUCCCGGAUACUGACUCAGAAACUGUAAUCCAAUAAAAUAAGUGUACUUAGGAUUCAAAGAAAAAACACUUAUGAGGGAGCAAAUAAUUCAAUCCAUAGGGACUUUUACUAUACUGCUAUAACCUAACUAAAAUUCAUGAGGUUGGGGGCGUGAUGGCUUAUGUCUAUAAUCCUAGUAUUCUGGGAGGCUGAGAUGGGAGGAUCACUUGUGCCCAGGAGUUUGAGACCAGCCUAGGCAACAUAGUGAGACCACUGUCUCUUAAAAAAAUAUUUUUUUCCACGAGAAAACAUCACAGGGAAGGUGACUUUUAAUCUGGUCUAAAAAGAUGAGUAGGUUUUCCCCAGCUAGAGGAGGGCAUUCCAGGAAGAAAGAACAGAUUGUAAAGUCAGUCCCAGAAGUAAAACAAAAUACGUGGCAUAUUCUGGUAACAGAGAACAGCUUGUUGUAGGUGAAUCAAAAGGAGCAGCAGACAAGAGGCAGGCGAGGCAGGCGGGGGCCAUCUUAUGAAGUCACCAGAGUCAACAAGUGUGGUCAUGAACUCAGCCUGGUCUUCAAACUGUUUGUUACUUGUCCAUGCUGGUUCAUGCUGGGCAAGCACAUGACGGGCUUCAUCAGUCCUGGACGAGAAAG